rnacentral:lncRNA from 1 species
AGCCUUGCAUGCCGGAGCCUGGAACAUGUGAGGAGCUAUUUUGGUCAGAAUCCUGGGACAUGGGGAACAGAAGCUGACACAGGAUAUGUUAAGCAAACAAACAAAUGUAUUAGAAGAAUCUAGAAUAGCUCAUAGUAAAGAAGAAAAAGUUGAAGAAUCUAAGUUCUUAAAAGAAAAAAACAAUCGAAGAUAGGCUAGGAAUUUAGCUUGGAGGAAUCGUGCAGAUUCCUCUGUUCCGAGGCAACUAGGGUGAAAUUAUUGGAUCCAUUUUGCUUCUGUGUCACUGCUCUGGACACUGGGAUUCCAGGUCAAGACUAUCUGACAGCAGCUUCAUUAGCAGGAAGAGAUUCGGUGCUGUACUGGGGAGCUAGCUACACAGAAGUAGUCCUAAGCGUGGUCAACUCAACAUCUCCAGCUCAGCCUCUUCCAGUUCGCUAUCUUCCAAAUUCUGAAUCCGCUUGCUGGACAUCUCCUCACCAGGCUAGUAUAUGCGCUCGCGCUCUCUCUUUCUCCUCAGAAGCAAGCAGGGAUGUGUGUGUGUGUGUGUGUACAGCUUAAAAUGUUGGAGAAGGGAAGACAAGUAAAGGGGGUGACGUUGGCUACAAGCAUGGUGGAUACCAUGGGUCCCUGAGGAAAUAAACUGUUUGCGGUUUUCCCCCA